rnacentral:misc_RNA from 1 species
CCAAAUUAAAAAGUAGAAAAAUACCCAAAAAAAAGACCAAAGAGUUAUUGAUAAAAGGGACAAACACAGAACAGCACAGGAUUGCCCUUCUCUAACAGUUGGGAACUCAACUAGAGAUUGCAGAUGAUAAUCAAUAUCUCAUUCAAAGAACUUAUGUCACUAGGGAUAAUUUGAAGUUGAACCUCAUAUAUGAAGGGCAAUUUUAUGAAUUAAAAAGAAGGUAAGAAUAUAUAAGAGGUUCCGGUAAGUGCUUCAAGAGAAUGGCUCCUAAAACUAAACUAAACUAAACUCAACUAAGCAUUUAUCUCAAAAAUUUGGGGUUGGCUAUAUAGAUUCUUUUUCUACACUCUAAACGAUUUUAAUAUUUCUAAGUUAUGUUAUACUACUCUCAUCCAAGUCAGUUUAGGUCUACCACUUCUUUUCUUUCUAUCCUCUAUCCUAAUGUACUCUACUUGUCUAACAUGAGACUCCGUAUGUCUACGCUCCACAUGACCAAAC